rnacentral:rRNA from 1 species
UGGGGAAUUUUGGACAAUGGGCGAAAGCCUGAUCCAGCAAUGCCGCGUGUGUGAAGAAGGCCUUCGGGUUGUAAAGCACUUUUGUCCGGAAAGAAAUCCUUGGCUCUAAUACAGUCGGGGGAUGACGGUACCGGAAGAAUAAGCACCGGCUAACUACGUGCCAGCAGCCGCGGUAAUACGUAGGGUGCAAGCGUUAAUCGGAAUUACUGGGCGUAAAGCGUGCGCAGGCGGUUUGCUAAGACCGAUGUGAAAUCCCCGGGCUCAACCUGGGAACUGCAUUGGUGACUGGCAGGCUAGAGUAUGGCAGAGGGGGGUAGAAUUCCAGUGUAGCAGUGAAAUGCGUAGAGAUGUGGAGGAAUACCGAUGGCGAAGGCAGCCCCCUGGGCAAUACUGACGCUCAUGCACGAAAGCGUGGGGAGCAAACAGGAUUAGAUACCCUGGUAGUCCACGCCCUAAAACGAUGUCAACUAGUUGUUGGGGAUUCAUUUCCUUAGUAACGUAGCUAACGCGUGAAGUUGACCGCCUGGGGAGUACGGUCGCAAGAUUAAAACUUAAAUGAAUUGACGGGGUCAUAGCUGUUUCCU